rnacentral:rRNA from 1 species
GAUGAACGCUAGCGACAGGCCUAACACAUGCAAGUCGAGGGGCAGCACAAGGUAGCAAUACUGAGGUGGCGACCGGCGCACGGGUGAGUAACGCGUAUGCAACCUGCCUGUAACAGGGGAAUAGCCUCUUGAAAGAGAGAUUAAUGCCGCAUAAUACGAGAUUCGGGCAUCCGGAUUUAGUUAAACAUUUAUGGGUUACAGAUGGGCAUGCGUUUCAUUAGGUAGUUGGUGAGGUAACGGCUCACCAAGCCGACGAUGAAUAGGGGUUCUGAGAGGAAGGUCCCCCACACUGGUACUGAGACACGGACCAGACUCCUACGGGAGGCAGCAGUGAGGAAUAUUGGUCAAUGGACGCAAGUCUGAACCAGCCAAGUCGCGUGAAGGAUGAAGGUAUUAUGUAUUGUAAACUUCUUUUGUCAGGGAAUAAUGGGUGUCACGUGUGACGCAGAGGAAUGUACCUGACGAAUAAGCAUCGGCUAACUCCGUGCCAGCAGCCGCGGUAAUACGGAGGAUGCGAGCGUUAUCCGGAUUUAUUGGGUUUAAAGGGUGCGUAGGCGGUUUGUUAAGUCAGUGGUGAAAGUUUGCGGCUCAACCGUAAAAUUGCCAUUGAAACUGGCGAACUUGAGUACAGUAGAGGUAGGCGGAAUUCGUGGUGUAGCGGUGAAAUGCUUAGAUAUCACGAAGAACUCCGAUUGCNAA